AGCGAACGCUGGCGGCAGGCCUAACACAUGCAAGUCGAACGAACCCUUCGGGGUUAGUGGGUGGACGGGUGAGUAACACGUGGGAACGUACCUUUAGGGUUCGGAACAACACAGGGAAACUUGUGCUAAUGCCGAAUGUGCCCUUCGGGGGGAAAGAUUUAUCGCCUUUAGAGCGGCCCGCGUCUGAUUAGCUUGGUUGGUGAGGUAAAGGCUCACCAAGGCUACGAUCAGUAGCUGGUCUGAGAGGAUGAUCAGCCACACUGGGACUGAGACACGGCCCAGACUCCUACGGGAGGCAGCAGUGGGGAAUCUUGCGCAAUGGGCGAAAGCCUGACGCAGCCAUGCCGCGUGAAUGAUGAAGGUCUUAGGAUUGUAAAAUCUUUCACCGGGGAAGAUAAUGA
rnacentral:rRNA from 1 species